CAGGGACAGUGACAUCAUCAAGUCACUUAGAGCCCAACUUCAAUUUGCCCACAGCAGGGCUGGGAAACACAAGAUCCUGCCCUGGAGCUGAAAUGGGCACCAGGCUCUUCUUCUAUGUGGCCCUUUGUCUGCUGUGGGCAGGACACAGGGAUGCUGAAAUCACCCAGAGCCCAAGACACAAGAUCACAGAGACAGGAAGGAAGGUGACCUUGACGUGUCACCAGACUUGGAACCACAACAAUAUGUUCUGGUACCGACAAGACCUGGGACACGGGCUGAGACUGAUCCAUUACUCAUAUGGUGUUCCAGACACUAACGAAGGAGAAGUCCCAGAUGGCUACAGUGUCUCUAGAUCAAAUAAAGAGGAUUUCCCCCUCACUCUGGAGUCUGCUGCCUCCUCCCAGACAUCUGUAUAUUUCUGCGCCAGCAGUGACAGCACAGAUACGCAGUAUUUUGGCCCAGGCACCCGGCUGACAGUGCUCGAGGACCUGAAAAAAGUGUUCCCACCCAAGGUCGCUGUGUUUGAGCCAUCAGAAGCAGAGAUCUCCCACACCCAAAAGGCCACGCUGGUGUGCCUGGCCACAGGCUUCUACCCCGACCACGUGGAGCUGAGCUGGUGGGUGAACGGGAAAGAGGUGCACAGUGGGGUCAGCACGGACCCACAGCCCCUCAAGGAGCAGCCCGCCCUCGAGGACUCCAGAUACUGCCUGAGCAGCCGCCUGAGGGUCUCGGCCACCUUCUGGCACAACCCCCGCAACCACUUCCGCUGCCAAGUCCAGUUCUAUGGGCUCUCGGAGGAUGACGAGUGGACCGAGGACAGGGACAAGCCCAUCACCCAAAAGAUCAGCGCCGAGGCCUGGGGUAGAGCAGACUGUGGCUUCACCUCUGAGUCUUACCAGCAAGGGGUCCUGUCUGCCACCAUCCUCUAUGAGAUCUUGCUAGGGAAGGCCACCUUGUAUGCCGUGCUGGUCAGUGCCCUCGUGCUGAUGGCCAUGGUCAAGAGAAAGGAUUCCUGAGGCUAGCUCCAAAACCAUCCCGGGUCAUUCUUCAUCCUCACCCAGGAUUCUCCUGUACCUGCUCCCAAUCUGUGUCCCUAAAAGUGAUUCUGUCUCUGCUUCUCAUCUCCUUAUGUGAAUACUUCCCUCUUUUUGCUAUUUCCCUGAAGAUUGAGCUCCCGACCCCCAAGUUUGAAAAAGACUAAACCAAUAAAAAAUGGUUGUGCUGAGCCUGGUUGCA